GGUUUGUGGCUCAGGGGUAGAGCACUUGCGUAUCAUGUGUAAGGCCCUGGGUUCAAUUCUCAGCACCG
rnacentral:tRNA from 1 species